UACAGAGGUGCCAAGCGUUGUUCGGAUUUAUUGGGCGUAAAGGGUGCGUAGGCGGUCGCGCAAGUCGGGUGUGAAAUUCCGGAGCCUAACUCCGGAACUGCAUUCGAAACUGCGUGGCUCGAGGUCUGGAGAGGUAAUUGGAAUUCUCGGUGUAGCAGUGAAAUGCGUAGAUAUCGAGAGGAACACCAGAGGCGAAAGCGAAUUACUGGACAGAACCUGACGCUGAGGCACGAAAGCUAGGGGAGCAAACGGG
rnacentral:rRNA from 1 species